rnacentral:rRNA from 2 species
CGGCGAUUUCCGAAUGGGGAAACCCAGUGUGACUCGUCACACUAUCAUUAACUGAAUCCAUAGGUUAAUGAGGCGAACCGGGGGAACUGAAACAUCUAAGUACCCCGAGGAAAAGAAAUCAACCGAGAUUCCCCCAGUAGCGGCGAGCGAACGGGGAGGAGCCCAGAGCCUGAAUCAGCAUGUGUGUUAGUGGAAGCGUCUGGAAAGGCGCGCGAUACAGGGUGACAGCCCCGUACACAAAAGCGCAUGUGCUGUGAGCUCGAUGAGUAGGGCGGGACACGUGGUAUCCUGUCUGAAUAUGGGGGGACCAUCCUCCAAGGCUAAAUACUCCUGACUGACCGAUAGUGAACCAGUACCGUGAGGGAAAGGCGAAAAGAACCCCGGCGAGGGGAGUGAAAAAGAACCUGAAACCGU